UGCUGGGAUUACAGGCGUGAGCCACCGUGCCCGGCCACAUAUUGCUUUUGAAGAAAGAAAGAAAAAGGACUUUUUAAGGCUAUGGGAUUGUUUUGCUACUUAGAAACAAAUCUUUCAUUCCUCCAUGGGCUGGCCGUUGGCUUGUUUGAGCUAAGUACCAUUCCCAAAAUCCUGUGUACUGCUUGGCUGGAGGUGGCUGAAAUCCUGUGAACUACGUUUCCCAGAUUCCCUUGCCAGCUGGCCUACUUAGAUGCUUCCAAUGGGAAGCACUGGUGGGAAGCUGCAUGAAAUGAGAGAGAGACCAAUUUUUCUUGUUGCUGUUUUGUUUUGUUUUGUUUAAGCUCUGGCCAGGGGGGCCGCAGUGACUGGCAGCUGCGGGGGCUCCAGCAGCCUUCAGUAGUUCCAGCAACCGCAUCGGGGUCAGGCAGUGGCCAGCUCCAGCAGCUUCAGCAGCUUCCUGCACUGUCAGAUGCCAGAUGCUCCUGGGCUCUGAUAACAUCACCACCUCCCUCCUAUUCCUCCUGCCUUUCAAGUGGCAGUGACUUCCUGCAGAUACUUAUCUGUAGCCAUCACCAGUUCAGACCACCAUCAUUUCUCACUGCCGCGGCCUUCUCUCAGAUAUCCCCACUUCUGCAACUGAAAGGAAUGGCAAAAACAGCAACUACUUUUGCACCAACCUAAUAAGACAUCCAGCAUUGUCCAUCUCAGCUCCUUGUUUAUUUCCUACUUAGUCCCUACUAAAACUUGACAUUUUGGUCUGUUUGUUUAAAUAGGUCUGUUUUAUGUCUCUCUCCCACAGGAGUAUGAGGGCAGGGACCUGUUUACCACAGUAUUUCCAGUGCCCAGCACAGAGCCUGACACAAAUCAGCUGUUCACUAUAUGCUGAAUGAAUGCUCUGCAUAUUGAACUGUUUCCAUAUUCAUGCAUAGAGAUAAAGGAAAUUUGAUUUAAUUUCAAUAAAUUCUGUAUUGUUAGAUGUUUCAA